UUUUAUCCCAAAUUAGUAGAAAAACAAAGGGUGACCUUCCACCCUCUUUAUAAAUAGUUCAUUUGUGAGUAAUUUAAAAACAAGUCUUGAGAGAUGGAAAAAUCCUUUUGAGCAAAUAUAGUUAUUAUUAUUUAGUAAAAAAUUUGUUUCAUAGAGUUGAUCGGCUAAUCAAAUUUUUUAAGUUGCCGGUGACGUUUUUCGAUGGUGGUUGAUUUCGAUAAAAUUCGUAGUCUGGUUUUGCUGUCUUGAAAAAGAUUAGCUGAUUUUUGUCAAUUGAAGACUACGUUGAAGCUUUUUUAAUCCCUAUAAAAUCGCAUAGAUUUGAUUUGAAGAUUUUUACGAUGUUAAUUAGGUGUGAAAGUAACCAAUUUCUAGUUUUUCAAAUGGAUGGGGAAACCCCUUUUAGGAGAGUAAUAAGAGAUCUUCCUACGAAGUUUCCGCAUGUUUCGUGUUAUGUGGAGAUGAAGAUAUUUGAUACUUUAAAACAAAAGCUAUCCGGUGUUUAGCUUAGAAGAUUUAUGGGAACAUGCUUUGAUCAAUACGCCACUAUGCCGGAAUCAUGGGUUCAAUCCCAAUUGUUUAGGAUAGUAGUUUUGUCAUCAUAGAUCUUCCUAAGAAGUCCCUACAUGUUGCGUGUUAUGUGGAGUCUUCAUUGUUGUAUAUGUGGAGUAUCUUAGCCAUGAAAAAGGUAUACCACCUAGAUAUUUUGAUGCAAACGCUUUUCGUACCCGUUAUGCUGCUCUUCUAUGUAAGCAUGAGACUCAGAAGAAUGAGAUUGGCGCAGUUAGUGAUGAUGAGAGUCCGGAUAAGUCAGUGAGGCCUCAAUUUGAGUGUGAGAAUAGUGACAUGAUAAUAAUCGCUUAGACAGUAUAUAUGUUCCUCCAUUUAUUGGUUUUAGUUGAAAAUACAAACUGAUCUUCAAUUUUUUUUUGUUUAAUUCUAAUAUCAAAUAUGAUAUUUCA